CCACCAUGGCAGUAUCAGCUUACCGCACACGGCGGCACUCCAAUAACUGAUCCAAAUUCCGCCCCAGAACUUGUAACUCUCACAAAAAAAAAAAAAAAAUAUAAAGAAAACAUAAAAGAAAAGAGAGGGCAAGAGGAAAAACAUUUUCAUUCAUUCGAAAUGGAAGAGAACUGGAAUCUUCGUCGAGGGAGAAGAUGCAACUUGAAAUUCCGAUGGGUCUUCGGGCUCAUCUUCAUCCACUUCUUGGAUGUCUUGAGGCUUCUUUUUCGGGGCCAGCUCUCUCCACUCUCCACACUCUGCUUCUCUGGUGUUACGAUAUUUAUGUUUUCAUCAAAAGAGCAGGCGAACAAUCAAAAUGCGCGCUGCACUCGACUCCAGACUUCGGAUGGCCCAAGAAGAUGUAGACGUGCAGGCACACACAGCGAACGAUGCAGAUAGAGAUAUGGAUACAGCUGCAGAUACAAAUGCAAGUGAACUGAAGUGAGGAAACUACAGGCAGACAGACGGCAACAGCAGCAGCAGCAGCACCAGCAGCAGCAGCAGCAGGCAGCGCUUUAACCUCAUAUUUAUCCAACAGAUACUUAUAGCGUAGCGCAAAAAAAAGCCAGCUACGACAAAAGAAAUGAAGGCCCCCGAAGGCCCUCAGCCACCUCUGCACUGGAAAAAAAUUAAACAGAUUUUUUAUUAAUAAUUUAAGAAUAGACUAGAAUCUACUAGCAAGAGUGGGUGUUCUUAGGAAGCUAUUAAGUCCUACAAUGAAAAUAAUAAUUAAUUUAUUAAAAAUCUCUAACAUCAUUUUUCUCAGUGUACCCGAAAUGAAAAUAAAAAAGAAAUUGUGGCUGGCAGGGGUAAGCAA